rnacentral:rRNA from 1 species
ACGCUCGACACCUACGGGAGGCAGCAGUGGGGAAUAUUGCACAAUGGGGGAAACCCUGAUGCAGCAACGCCGCGUGAAGGAAGACGGUUUUCGGAUUGUAAACUUCUGUUCUUAGUGAAGAUAGUGACGGUAGCUAAGGUGCAAGCCACGGCUAACUACGUGCCAACAGCCGCGGUAAUCUGAGCGGGCUGGCAAGGC